GCGCCGUGUGUUAUGCACAGAGCGAACUAUUCUUUCGCCUUUUACUAAAGAAUACCGUGUGCAUGUCACGCUAAGCGGCAUACGCCUAUAUUUUUGGAGGUGUCCUUCUUUGAAGGACAC